rnacentral:rRNA from 1 species
UGAGUUUGAUUCUGGCUCAGAUUGAACGCUGGCGGCAUGGCUAAAACAUGCAAGUCGAACGCGAAAGCAACUUCGGUUGCAAGUAGAGUGGCGAAAGGGCGAGUAAUGCGUUUCUAACGUGCCUCGAAGUGAGGGAUAGCUCAGAGAAAUCUGGGGUAAUACUUCAUAAUCUCUUAAAGUCGUAUGAUUUUUAGAGCAAAGGUUUACUGCUUCGAGAUCGGGAAACGUGCUAUCAGGUAGUUGGUGAGGUAAAGGCUCACCAAGCCAGAGACGGCUAGCGGGUGUGAGAGCACGACCCGCCGCAUCGGGACUGAGACACUGCCCGGACUCCUACGGGAGGCUGCAGUAACGAAUAUUCCGCAAUGCACGAAAGUGUGACGGAGCAAUGCCGCGUGUAGGAUGAAUCCCUUCGGGGUGUAAACUACUGUCAGGGUUUAGGAACUUUGAC